rnacentral:siRNA from 1 species
AAGAUCCUACUCAACUUCCGAUGU